GACGUAGGGCGCGAGCGUUGUCCGGAUUUAUUGGGCGUAAAGAGCUCGUAGGCGGCUUGUCGCGUCGAAUGUGAAAACCCGAGGCUCAACCUCGGGCCUGCAGUGGGUACGGGCAGACUAGAGUGCGGUAGGGGAGAUUGGAAUUCCUGGUGUAGCGGUGAAAUGCGUAGAUAUCAGGAGGAACACCUGUGGUGUAGACAGCUUACUGGACCAUUUCUGACGCUGAGACACGAAAGCGUGGGUAGCAAACAGG
rnacentral:rRNA from 1 species